CUACAUUCUGGUCUCCAUUUUAACAUUCCUCUGGAUUCUUCAGAAGACAGUAGCAAAAAUAAAGCCUUUUCUGGAGUGUGUUAAAGAUCCAGAUCCUCAGCCAGUGUAAACCCAUUACCUGCUUUAAAGCUAAGUCAAUUUACACCAACUUUGGAUCUAGCCAAAUGCUUUUUUAAAUGACUGUGGCAAUAUAUUGCAUGGAUGCAUAAUUAUCUUUCAAAUCAGUUUUAGUGCCUCAACAACAAAACCAGCAAAUUGCCAUGAAAAGGGAAAUUUAUAUACACUUUUUGUUUGUUUGUGUCUAUGUGGGUUUUUUCACUGAUACUUAUACCUCUUUUACAGAUCAGCUGUAUUGGGCAUGAAUUUCAGUGCAUUUCCAUGGCCACCAGGCUUCUGAAGGGAAGUUCCACCCUGCAGAGAAGUAACUGCCCUUAUAAGUGCAAAGCUCAAGUAUACUGGCGGGAAUUUUGGACACACAAAAUAUGAAAUAUGCACAUCAGACAAUAUUAUUAGCUACCGAGAUAAGUAAAUCCAGAUAUAGCUUUGCCUUCUAGCUGUUGUUCAAUCAAUAGCAUUGCGCAAUAUUUGGCAUUCCAUUGCCUCAGAAACCAAGACCUACGUGAGUGAAUUGUUCUCAUUUCAUGGCAUCUAGCCAGACCAGGAUCUUUUCUGUUUUUCACCCAAAUCCAUAUGGCUGCCAAUCCUCAGGCCUAGCCUCCAGCAGUAUGCAGCCUACUUGGGCUUAUCCCCUGGGAGAGGAGCGAGUUUCAGCAGUGAAGAAGAAACAUCAGUGAUGCCUCCACCCCAGCCAAGCUGGCUUGUCCCUUGCCCAAGAUCUCGCUCCCAAAGGGCUCUUUCUCUUGUUGUUGUUUUUCUUUGAAACGCCUUCAUGUUAAGCUGGCUAAUUAUGAGACUCUCCUGACGUCUCACAUUGACCCUGGGCCAUGCUCCAGGAGUAACUGCCCAAGCCAGGCAAUCAUCCCAAGCCUGCUGCUCAUUAAAUGAAGCAUGAGGCAGUGGGAUCUCCAAAAGGCCUGGCCAUGAUGAGAACUGGGCAGGGCAUGAGAGAGAAAAGCCGCACACUAAUGGAUUAAUGAUUUAUUCUCCUGAUGUUAACAUUAAAGUUAUGAUCCACUUUCUACUAAAUCACAGCUAAUGUUAGCAGCAGAUGCAUCCUAUUAGAACAUGCAGUCCAGCCUUUGCCUGUGGGGGAUUGUCCCAUACAAUAGCUAUUCCAGUGCUAGACACAAUUAAAUUUUAUAAUAAUUUUUUGGUAA